UACGUAGGCAGCAAGCGUUGUUCGGAGUUACUGGGCGUAAAGGGUGUGUAGGCGGUUCUCUAAGUUUGGUGUGAAAUCUCCCGGCUCAACUGGGAGGGUGCGCCGAAAACUGGAGAGCUAGAGUACUGGAUGAGAGAGUGGAAUUCCUGGUGUAGCGGUGAAAUGCGUAGAUAUCGUGAGGAACACCAGAGGCGAAGGCGGCUACCUGGACAAUUGCUGACACUCAGGCACGAAAGCGUGGGGAGCAAAAGGG
rnacentral:rRNA from 1 species